CUUUCAAUAUACUUGUGAGCCUUUACAAAAUACAAUUCUACGUGAGUGUCUUUGUUUCAAAGAGGGUUGAUCCAACAUUUGGUAUCAGAGCUUCGGCUCAUACCAGGGAUCGUGAAGGGUUCUUCGUGAACCGUAGAGAGAGUCGAACAAGGCACUGUGUGAGCCGUGUUCAUGUGAAGAAGAAGACACCGAAAAUCUGUGUGAAGGUGUGUGGCUGUGUGCUUCGAAGAUUUGAAAAGAAAUAGAUCUGUGUGAUCUAGGAGGAUUCUGUGUGAAUCAAGAAAAAUAGAUCUGUGUGAUUUGAAGAUAAAACUUACUGUGUGUGGGUUGUGUUUAUUGAAGGAAAAGAGGAGAGAUCUGUGUGAUCAAAGAGAAGGAAAAAAAUUCUGUGUGAAUUGAAGUUUGAGGGGUGUUUGUUUUGGUUGAAAAGUGAAAGGAAAAAAAAGAAAGUAGUAUUGUGGUGUUGCUGUACGAAAAAAAAGGGAGAAGAUAUAAACAUUAUUAGUUUUAUUUUGUUUCUCGAUUAUUUGGCAGGUAAAGAAAAUGGUGGUCGGUUCCAAAGCAAUGAAGACCGAAAGGAUCAAGGUUGGUAUAGAGACAAGCGAAACAUCAAGUGCUAUAAUUGUCAAGAAUACGGACAUUAUGCGAGCGAGUGUCCUAAGAAGGAAACAAAAGAAGAAGAGGCGAAUUUGAUUCGAGACGACGAUGAACCGACUUUGCUUUGAAGAAACGGGUGGAUCAAGAUUAUGGGGGUGAUUGUUGGAUAAUCUUGAUGGGUUUACAUUUGGGCCAGUAGUGUUUUGUUUAAUGGGUCAGUUAAUAAUGGGUCAUAACCCAACUUAAGUCUGCAUGUGUUUUGUUUUGAGUUCAAGAGUCAUGCACGUGAAGUUUGAAAAAGUAUUAGGUAGUUUGCUUUUAACCGGUCUUUUGUUAUGUCCGGGUAUUAGGGAGAGUCUAGUGGUAACUUUAGAAAAAGUCUUCUUUGUUUACGUUGUGUCAUUGCCUAUUUAAGGCAUGUGGAGUUAUGGAAUAAAG
rnacentral:lncRNA from 1 species